UACGUAGGGUCCGAGCGUUGUCCGGAAUUAUUGGGCGUAAAGGGCUCGUAGGCGGUUCGUCGCGUCGGGAGUGAAAACUCGGAGCUCAACUCCGAGCCUGCUUCCGAUACGGGCAGACUAGAGGUAGGCAGGGGAGAGCGGAACUCCUGGUGUAGCGGUGGAAUGCGCAGAUAUCAGGAAGAACACCCGUGGCGCAAGCGGCCACCUGGCCAAGAGCUGACGCUGAGGCACGAGAGCGUGGGGAGCGAACCGG
rnacentral:rRNA from 1 species